GACCGUGCACGCGUCAUCCAGCCUGCCGGCGGCGGAUCCGUUCGUCGUUCGGCCAAGUCCUUGACAACCUCUUCUCUUCGGAGUGGGGGCUCGAGGUAAAAGAACCCACGACGCCUAAGGCGUCAAGGAACACUGUGCCUAGCCCGGGGACGCGGACGGCUUGCUGCCUGCCCCCCGUGCUGCAACGCUAUUUAAUCCACACGACUCUCGGCAACGGAUAUCUCGGCUCUCGCAUCGAUGAARAACGUAGCRAAAUGCGAUACCUGGUGUGAAUUGCARAAUCCCGCGAACCAUCGAGUCUUUGAACGCAAGUUGCGCCCGAGGCCAUUCGGCCGAGGGCACGCCUGCCUGGGCGUCACGCAAAACACGCUCCCACCCCCUCAUUGGGGGACCGGGACGCGGCAUCUGGCCCCCCGUCGCGCAAGGGGCGGUGGGCCGAARAUAUGGCUGCCGGCGCAUCGUGCCGGGCACAGCGCGUGGUGGGCGACCUCGCUUUACUUACCGCAGUGCAUCCGGUGCGUAGCCGGCGUGAUGGCCUUGAAGGACCCUAUGAACGGUGCGCACGACGCUCCGACC
rnacentral:misc_RNA from 1 species